UUUUCUUCUUGACAAAAUUACAAAGCAGCACACCACAAAAUUCUUGCAUCUGUUAUUAUAGCAAAAGGCUGGUCUAAAAAGCACCGAUGAUGGAGGGCUGGACAUAGAUACACACCAGAAUUUCAGGUAUUGUGAUUUGAAUAACCUAAAGCCAGAAAAAACCUGUUAAACAGGUUAGAAAAAGGGGUGUUGGAGCAAAGGAGGGUGGGCCACAACUUCUAUUUAAACCCUCCCAAACACACCGAAAUCUCACUGUGGACUCUCUGAAUCAAGGUGCAAGCCUGAAGAAACAACUCCUCCCCUUUGUCAGAUAUACAUCCUAAGGAAAAAUGAACAGGCAGCCGACUGCUCUGCAGGUGUCAAUGGGCGCUUUGUUUGGCGUCUAUAUGUCAAAGCAAGGGGCUGAUGGAAAGCUCACAAAGCAGGCCUUUCUGGAACUGCUUAAUGAGCAGAUGCCCGCUUUUAAGAAGGGGGGUGCUGACAUUGGAGAGGAGGUAUUCGAAGGUGUAGACAUGAAUGAUGAUGGAAAAGUCGACUUCAAAGAGUUUGCUAUGAUGACUGCCGGCUUUGCUGCUGCUAACUUUGAGGUCCUUCAGGAAGUAAUGAAGGAACAGGGAAACUAACUUAGCAAAGACUGAGCAGCUAUUGCUAAGUUGAAAUACUUAAUUCGACAUAAAAAAUAAAGUUCUUCUGCAAAAUG